ACAACUUUCAACAACGGAUCUYUUGGCUCUCGCAUCGAUGAAGAACGCAGCRAAAUGCGAUAACUAAUGUGAAUUGCASAAUUCARUGAAUCAUCGAGUCUKUGAACGCACCUUGCGCCCUUUGGUAUUCCGAAKGGCAUGCCUGUUUGAGUGUCARUWA
rnacentral:rRNA from 1 species